AGCCACGCUGCUUCUCACGCCCACUGGGUGCCAGGCACUGAGGAGCAGGUGAGCAGCCCGUGCCCGCCGCCGGCCCCCACCUGCCCCGGCGUGGACGACCGAGGUGGCCCCCGGCGUGGUGCCGCCAGCGUCCGGGGGCCCGGCGGCUCCCCCGCAGCCCCCAGCGUCCUGGCUUCCUGACCCACCCCGUCGGAAGGCCCCUGGCCGGGCGUGCCCAUCGGAACUGGUUGAGGGGGCGGACGUGGCGUGGGCGGUGGUUCGGCGGGCCCCCUUCACCCCCACGGUGGGAUGGGCCUGGACACCAUUGGAGAGCGGGUGGGGGAGAGGGUCCGCUUCCACCGCCCUCCCACCUCAAAGCACAAGCUCCCCCCGGGCACGCGGAUCCCGGCCGAUUUCUCGGGGGCCGGGGGUGGGCGGCCACCGGGCCGUUGGGUGUCCGUCAGGGAUCCGGCCGAGUCGUGCCGCCUGGGGUGCCCCCCUGGAGCGGGGUGGGUGCCGGCACGGAGGACCUUCCCGCCGGCCCACUAAAAAUGCACUAGACGUGAGUUUGGGAAUCCAGGCACCCUCCACGCCGGAGGGUUCCUCCGUUUCCUUAGAUUAAAGGACAGAGUUAAAUAGAUGAGAUAGAUGAAUAUAUACGUAUAUUUUUUUUGAGUAAGUUGCGAUGGGCUCACGAGGCUCUGACCUGAGACGGUGCAGGGAAGCGACCCCGGCCGAGCCCCGUGAACCGAACCGAGGGUGCUGACGUUCCGUCGUCGCGUGGCUCUCUGCCUUGGGAUGGGCGGGCGGGCAGUGCUCGGCGAUUUGUCGGCAGCGAUAAUAAAAAGAUUUCACGGCA